rnacentral:rRNA from 1 species
CCUACGGGUGGCAGCAGUGGGGAAUAUUGGACCAUGGGCGGAACCCUGAUCCAGCGACGCCGCGUGAGUGAAGAAGUCUCUCGGUAUGUAAAGCUCUAUCAGUAGGGAAGAAAAUGACGGUACCUGACUAAGAAGCCCCGGCUAACUACGUGCCAGCAGCCGCGGUAAUACGUAGGGGGCAAGCGUUAUCCGGAUUUACUGGGUGUAAAGGGAGCGUAGACGGUGCAGCAAGUCUGAUGUGAAAGUGCGGGGCCCAACCCCGGGACUGCAUUGGAAACUGUUGAACUGGAGUACAGGAGAGGUAAGCGGAAGUCGUAGUGUAGCGGUGAAAUGCGUAGAUAUUAGGAGGAACACCAGUGGCGAAGGCGGCCUGCUGGACGACAACUGACGGUGAGGCGCGAAAGCGUGGGGAGCAAACAGGAUUAGAUACCCCUGUAGUC